GACGAACGCUGGCGGCGUGCUUAACACAUGCAAGUCGAACGGUGAAGCGCCUUCCUUUUUGGUGGGUGUGGAUGAGUGGCGAACGGGUGAGUAACACGUGAGUAACCUGCCCCCUUCUUCUGGAUAACCGCAUGAAAGUGUGGCUAAUACGGGAUAUUCUGGGUCUGUCGCAUGAUGGGUCUGGGAAAGAUAUUGUUUCGGUGGGGGAUGGGCUCGCGACCUAUCAGCUUGUUGGUGGGGUGAUGGCCUACCAAGGCGGUGACGGGUAGCCGGCCUGAGAGGGUGGACGGUCACACUGGGACUGAGACACGGCCCAGACUCCUACGGGAGGCAGCAGUGGGGAAUAUUGCACAAUGGGCGCAAGCCUGAUGCAGCGACGCCGCGUGAGGGAUGGAGGCCGUCGGGUUGUGAACCUCUUUCGCCAGUGAAGCAGGCCUGCCUCGUUUGUGGGUGGGUUGACGGUAGCUGGAUAAGAAGCGCCGGCUAACUACGU
rnacentral:rRNA from 1 species